rnacentral:lncRNA from 1 species
UUGAACUUAAUACAUUCCUCAAUGCAAAUGUUGAAAAAGAAAGAUUAAAGAUAACAUAACACUGCUAAAGAAAAACAUGUUUGCAAUCCCAUAGGAAAUAAGCCAAUGUUUCCUCACUCCUCACUGCAUCUGCUCUGUAAAAUAAGCUCCAAAACAUGUUUGCAAUCCCAUCUUCUCAGUCCAAGAAUGGCAUGACAUCCUGUGCAAAUAGAUUCAUAAAUUUGUCAUUAUAUAUUUAUAUAUGGUAGAACUGUGCUUUCAAUUUUUAUAAUAAUGAAAUAGCUAUCUCAAUAAUAACUGUUAUCUCAAUAAUAAGUGCUAAAAUACCCCAAAUAUGUCACACACCUAACUCGGUUCGCUUACUGCAGAAUCAAACAAGUUACUAUUCUAAUUUUAUAGCACAUGUGCCACCCUACUGGGUUCACCAACCAGUGCCUAAUCACAACCUCGAGUUGAGAAAUGCCAAAAUAAUUAAGCAAAAUCAUGCAUCAGUGACAAACACUUUUAACUCAAUCACCCCCCCCCAUUUAUCUGGAAUAUCAACAUAGCAAAUAUAUUUAUAACUAGUCAUUAGAGAAUCACAUACAAUACCUCUAUCGAAUCUACAGUUGAUGAAAAUGACUGAUGGAGCCAGAUUUGCAUGACAAAGCAAAAUCUUCAACAGAACAAGCGUAGCAUCACAAUAUUUAUCGACCACCUUUUUUUGACAAGUGAUGCAUCACCGAUCAUCUUUCAGUCUUGUUUUCACUAAAGCAAAAGAAACAACUUAAAACUAAAUUCACAUUGACAAAUCAAUUGAUACUUGUACUUCAAAAUAUCACUUAACUGAGAUUUCAGCUUGUAGCAAAAUUAUCUCCAGUUCAACAGAGCUUCGAGCAAUCUACAUUAAUAUGAGCCAGAAAUAGAUUAUAAGAGAAAGUAAAUCAAUGGUUGUUGCAAUAAGUUAAUUAAUGAAAAUGAUGCAUAGUCUUGUGGGCUUUGAUACCCAAAACAAAGAAGAUUAUGAACCUCUGCAUAACCCGAUUCGAUUAUUUGUCUAUAAAAUCUUAUUUAUCAACACAAAUAUCCGCAGUUCAGCACUUAGCAGUGUCAUAUCACAUUUCAUUUUGAAUAAUUUUGACAAGCAUGAAUUGAAGAAACAUGCUAAAAAAUAAAAUACCCACCACAAGCAUGAUUUAAAACAAUUCAGUCCACAUAUACUCCCAAAACAAUUCAGUCCAAUAAAACAAUUUGCUUCACAAAUCAAAAAUAACUAGAAACUCUAGAAUCCUCCAGUUAUACUCCCAAUUCAGUCCACAUAUCAAUUCAGUAUUCACAAUCCAAGCACAGAUUUAUUGCCACUGUUCCAGUUUUACUCCCAAUUCAGUCCACAUCUUCUCUUCUUUUCCGAAAUUGCAGGGUUUUACCAAAAUUGAACAAAUUUAGUAACCCCAACAAAAGAUUUCAUCCAAUAAAUUAAGAACAUAAAUAUAAAAAAAAACCAUAACAUAGCAGAAACAAAAACUGAACAUAACAGUCUAGCAGAAGUGCAGAACACAUAGACACAUAGUUAAGAACUUAAGACUGAAAAACAAAGAGAAAACGAAGGGAAAAAGGUAGAUCGGCAUGGAUGUGGACGAUCGAUCGAAGUGUAGAGAAGAAGAAGCUACCUGUAGGGAAGAAGAAGCUACACAGACGUGAGACGUCACUCGUGACUCGUCAAUCGACGACUCAGCGUGGACAGCGUAGUCGAUCGAUCGAAGAAACUUGAGGAGUGAGGACUGAGGAGUGAGGACUCUCUCGCGACUCGUCUGACGUCUCCACUCUCGCCUCUCGGUCUCUCUCUCACUUAGUCACUUCUUAGUUUUAUCAUAUCUGAAAUCUAGAAUAAGGGUUAGCAACUUAGCACUUUGCCUUAGCCAAUUAGCCAAAAA